UGCCGCUGUGGUGAAAUUGGCAGACACGAGGGACUUAAAAUCCCUUUCUGGAGACAGAGUACGGGUUCGACCCCCGUCGGCGGCAU
rnacentral:tRNA from 1 species